UACGUAGGGUGCGAGCGUUAAUCGGAAUUACUGGGCGUAAAGCGUGCGCAGACGGUUCUCCAAGUCCGUUGUGAAAGCCCCGGGCUCAACCUGGGAAUGGCAGUGGAAACUAGGGGACUGGAAUCUGGCAGAGGGGGGUGGAAUGCCGCGUGUAGCAGUGAAAUGCGUAGAGAUGCGGCGGAACACCGAUGGCGAAGGCAGCCCCCUGGGCUGAGAUUGACGCUCAGGCACGAAAGCGUGGGGAGCAAACAGG
rnacentral:rRNA from 1 species